AUACGGAGGGUGCGAGCGUUGUUCGGAAUUAUUGGGCGUAAAGAGCAUGUAGGCGGUCUGUUAAGUCUGGUGUGAAAGCCCGGGGCUCAACCCCGGAAGUGCAUUGGAUACUGGCAGACUUGAGUAUGGGAGAGGAAAGCGGAAUUCCGAGUGUAGGAGUGAAAUCCGUAGAUAUUCGGAGGAACACCAGUGGCGAAGGCGGCUUUCCGGACCAAUACUGACGCUGAGAUGCGAAAGCGUGGGGAGCGAACAGGAUUAGAUACCCCGGUAGUCC
rnacentral:rRNA from 1 species